rnacentral:rRNA from 1 species
AACGAACGCUGGCGGCAGGCCUAACACAUGCAAGUCGAGCGCGCCCUUCGGGGUGAGCGGCGGACGGGUGAGUAACGCGUGGGAACGUGCCCUUUUCUACGGAAUAGCCUCGGGAAACUGAGAGUAAUACCGUAUACGCCCUUUGGGGGAAAGAUUUAUCGGAAAAGGAUCGGCCCGCGUUGGAUUAGGUAGUUGGUGGGGUAAUGGCCUACCAAGCCGACGAUCCAUAGCUGGUUUGAGAGGAUGAUCAGCCACACUGGGACUGAGACACGGCCCAGACUCCUACGGGAGGCAGCAGUGGGGAAUCUUAGACAAUGGGGGCAACCCCGAUCUAGCCAUGCCGCGUGAGUGAUGAAGGCCUUAGGGCUGUAAAGCUCUUUCAGCUGGGAAGAUAAUGACGGUACCAGCAGAAGAAGCCCCGGCUAACUCCGUG